UUGCAAAAGCAUAGAUAAAAC
ensembl:piRNA 21ur-6989 ncRNA